rnacentral:lncRNA from 1 species
GAGGAGCUUGAAAAGCUCAGGCUUACUAUGCAGAGGGAGUCAAAGGUGGAUUUGAUCAUCCAAUCCUUGACUAGUUUAUUUGGAUAGUUUAUUGAAACUACUAUAUGAAUAAAUUAGACUAUAAUUUAUCUGAAUUGAUCAAUAUGCUGGUCACUACUGAGGGUACAUUGAAAAGUUCAAAGGGCUCUAUUAUUACUAUUGAGCGGACACCUUCUAAGAGAAAG